rnacentral:rRNA from 1 species
AUUGAACGCUGGCGGCAUGCCUUACACAUGCAAGUCGAACGGCAGCACGGGUGCUUGCACCUGGUGGCGAGUGGCGAACGGGUGAGUAAUACAUCGGAACAUGUCCUGUAGUGGGGGAUAGCCCGGCGAAAGCCGGAUUAAUACCGCAUACGAUCUACGGAUGAAAGCGGGGGACCUUCGGGCCUCGCGCUAUAGGGUUGGCCGAUGGCUGAUUAGCUAGUUGGUGGGGUAAAGGCCUACCAAGGCGAGGAUCAGUAGCUGGUCUGAGAGGACGACCAGCCACACUGGGACUGAGACACGGCCCAGACUCCUACGGGAGGCAGCAGUGGGGAAUUUUGGACAAUGGGCGAAAGCCUGAUCCAGCAAUGCCGCGUGUGUGAAGAAGGCCUUCGGGUUGUAAAGCACUUUUGUCCGGAAAGAAAUCCUUGGCCCUAAUACGGUCGGGGGAUGACGGUACCGGAAGAAUAAGCACCGGCUAACUACGUG